rnacentral:rRNA from 1 species
GACGAACGCUGGCGGCGUGCUUAACACAUGCAAGUCGAACGGUAAGGCUCCAGCUUGCUGGGGUACACGAGUGGCGAACGGGUGAGUAACACGUGGGUGACCUGCCCUGCACUUCGGGAUAAGCCUGGGAAACUGGGUCUAAUACCGGAUAGGACCGCACCGUGAGGGUGUGGUGGAAAGUUUUUUCGGUGUGGGAUGGGCCCGCGGCCUAUCAGCUUGUUGGUGGGGUAAUGGCCUACCAAGGCGGCGACGGGUAGCCGGCCUGAGAGGGUGGACGGCCACAUUGGGACUGAGACACGGCCCAGACUCCUACGGGAGGCAGCAGUGGGGAAUAUUGCACAAUGGGCGGAAGCCUGAUGCAGCGACGCCGCGUGGGGGAUGACGGCCUUCGGGUUGUAAACUCCUUUCACCAUCGACGAAGGGUUUCUGACGGUAGAUGGAGAAGAAGCACCGGCUAACUACGUGCCAGCAGUCGCGGUAAUACGUAGGGUGCGAGCGUUGUCCGGAAUUACUGGGCGUAAAGAGCUCGUAGGUGGUUUGUCGCGUCGUCUGUGAAAUUCCGGGGCUUAACUCCGGGCGUGCAGGCGAUACGGGCAUAACUUGAGUACUGUAGGGGAGACUGGAAUUCCUGGUGUAGCGGUGAAAUGCGCAGAUAUCAGGAGGAACACCGGUGGCGAAGGCGGGUCUCUGGGCAGUAACUGACGCUGAGGAGCGAAAGCAUGGGGAGCGAACAGGAUUAGAUACCCUGGUAGUCCAUGCCGUAAACGGUGGGCGCUAGGUGUGGGUUUCCUUCCACGGGAUCCGUGCCGUAGCUAACGCAUUAAGCGCCCCGCCUGGGGAGUACGGCCGCAAGGCUAAAACUCAAAGGAAUUGACGGGGGCCCGCACAAGCGGCGGAGCAUGUGGAUUAAUUCGAUGCAACGCGAAGAACCUUACCUGGGCUUGACAUAUACAGGAUCGCGCCAGAGAUGGUGUUUCCCUUGUGGUUUGUAUACAGGUGGUGCAUGGUUGUCGUCAGCUCGUGUCGUGAGAUGUUGGGUUAAGUCCCGCAACGAGCGCAACCCUUGUCUUAUGUUGCCAGCACGUUGUGGUGGGGACUCGUAAGAAACUGCCGGGGUUAACUCGGAGGAAGGUGGGGAUGACGUCAAAUCAUCAUGCCCCUUAUGUCCAGGGCUUCACACAUGCUACAAUGGUCGGUACAGUGGGUUGCCAGUCCGUGAGGGCGAGCUAAUCCCGCAAAGCCGGUCUCAGUUCGGAUCGGGGUCUGCAACUCGACCCCGUGAAGUCGGAGUCGCUAGUAAUCGCAGAUCAGCAACGCUGCGGUGAAUACGUUCCCGGGCCU